rfam:Blastococcus sp. DSM 44272 genome assembly, contig: Ga0170376_117
UUGCCGGUGGAAGUCCGGUCCGGGUAGCUGCCAGGAGGCCCGGUAGCAGACUGGCGGCUCGGUCUGGAAACGGGCCGGGUCGGAGCCCAGUGUCGAAAGCCCUGCAAGGGGGAGCGACUGGACGGUCCGCAGCAUCA